rnacentral:rRNA from 1 species
GACGAACGCUGGCGGCGUGCUUAACACAUGCAAGUCGAACGGAAAGGCCCUGCUUGCAGGGUACUCGAGUGGCGAACGGGUGAGUAACACGUGGGUGAUCUGCCCUGCACUUCGGGAUAAGCCUGGGAAACUGGGCCUAAUACCGGAUAGGAGCCAUUUUUAGUGUGAUGGUUGGAAAGUUUUUUCGGUGUAGGAUGAGCUCGCGGCCUAUCAGCUUGUUGGUGGGGUAAUGGCCUACCAAGGCGGCGACGGGUAGCCGGCCUGAGAGGGUGGACGGCCACAUUGGGACUGAGAUACGGCCCAGACUCCGACGGGAGGCAGCAGGGGGGAAUAUUGCACAAUGGGCGCAAGCCUGAUGCAGCGACGCCGCGUGGGGGAUGACGGCCUUCGGGUUGUAAACUCCUUUCGCUAGGGACGAAGCUUUUUGUGACGGUACCUAGAUAAGAAGCACCGGCUAACUACGUG